ensembl:lncRNA
UUUAAGGGCUGGCAGUGGAGGCAGGGGUAUCUUCCUAAAGAUCCCUGCCUACCUGGGGCCUUCCAAAGGUAAUCUGGAAAACAGUCAUUUCAGUGAUAAUCAGGAGUUCUGCUUCUCUUCUUGGUUGUAAUAGAUGUGAAGCAAGAUGACAGCAGUGAGAGAGGAUGAGUUGAUUGAGCAAGAUGAGAAGGUUACUCUUCUGGAGGAAAUGCUACAGACAGCUCAGUUCUAUUGAGGAAAACACUUCUUUGACAUGCUACCAUUUAGAGUGUCACAGUUCGAGACUCCUUGAAAGAAGAUGACUUUUUGCUCAUUCUGGAGAUCUGGAGAUAUCAAUUAGUAAAUUGAAGACCUUAGAAGCUGUUCCACUAAAGUCAACAUCUGGAUGUUUGCAAUUUCACCUGAACAACUUAAGGAAGUUAAUAAGACUGAAUCCAGGAAAGUUUGGAUUGCCUGUGGAAGAGAGAAGGGAUCCUGAUCUAUGUUCCCUAGAUGGAUUUCACAACUAAGUUAAUCAGUAAAAGGCGGAGAAUGAACUAAAGACCAACACAAGCCUUCUGCACCCUCAACAUGGGCCUUGAGCCAGUCCUCUUAACGCAUAGGAAACAGAAGAAAGAUGCUGAAACCAAACCUGCCUAUAUCUGUUAUCGCUGUAUCUCAAUGCCAGCACGAGUUCACGUGUUACUUGAAAGCAGCACUGCAAGGAAACUCUGCUCUAUCCUUAAACACAUGGCUCCUGGAGGAGGGAGCAUGCCAGAGAGUGAUGGGAGACAUUUACUCCUCAUUCCAAAAGAGAAGCUCUCUGAUUCUGAGAGAGAUACUUUUCAGUUUUACAUUCCAGCAUGGUACGGCUGUCGUGGAUGCUGGUGUUACACAUCCCAAAUAAGGAGCAGCGUUGGGAAAAUUUUGAAACUAUUGGGACUCUAAGGAAAGGUCUGGCCUAUCCCUGCGUGGCAGUGUUGCACUAUGGCAGUCAGAAACACUGUAGUCAAAUCUUACAGGAGAAACUGAAGUCUGAAACCCCUCUUUUACGUUUAAGAGUCUGCAAAUGACAACAGAAGAAAGAUUUCAGGAAAUAAAAUACGUGUUAUAGUGCUUUUCUAGUCAAGAGCAGAGUUAUGCUUCUUCAUGUGUGUGUCCUCAACUGCUUUGGAGCAAUACCAUUCAUUCCACAUCUGUUUCUGUCGUGCACUUAGUGUAUGGUAGGUAAAUACACACAGCUGGAAGCUGAAUCUCAAAGCUCCAGUUCCCAAAUUGCGGGCUGUGGUUCAUGAGGUCACAGUAAGUGGUCUGUGGCAGGCCUGCAGACCUGUAAACUGGAAUAACAUUUAUUUAAUCACUUCUUUCUAAGUAAAAAUGCUGGGAGUGGUGAAAGUUUGAAGGGUAACAGCGAUCAUUAGUCCAAAAGGUGUGGAAAUCCUUGUCGUGAGGUCUUUGAAUCAGCUGUAUGGUUAAGAUUUGUGAAGGGGUUUCUGAGAAAGAAUGUAUAUAUAUGCUGUGUACAGUAAGAUAUUGUGUGAUGGAAGGUAUGAGUACCUGUAACAUUGAUUUUCAUCCCUGGGGCAGCUUUAGAUCAUUUUUGGCAAGUUUUAUAUUUCUAACUUUGACAUCCCUCUGAGAAUUUACUGUUUCUCUAUUAGACCUAGAGUUACAAAUGUAUGUGGUCAUAUAAAGAGAGAAAUAUGAGAAAUGAUCCUUAACAAAAAAAGCAUUAGAAAUAACAGCUCAAUAGAUUUACUGUGUGACACAACACAUGACAAAGAGCACAAAUGCUGCAUACGUAGCAGAGUUCAUCCUCGGCUCACUUCAUGCAUGCAGUUUGAAGACUGGCUUUUUCUUUGUUAUACGUGAAAGAAGAUUCCAUUAAUUUCAUCAACGUAUUUGUUAUUCAAAAUUGUUCACUAGAAUUCUGCAAAAACGUCUUAAAAUGCCAAUUAUUUGUAACUGGGCUCCCACAGACAUUGCUUGAAAUACUCAAAAGUCGAGACAAGCCAGGCAGCUUUUUGUAGAAUGUGUGAGUUUUACGCCUCUGGAUAAAUGCAACUCAUGGAAUCCAGUUCCCACAGUGAAUAUUUAUACUUAAGACUUAAAACGUUCGUUUUAUAUCAAUAUUUUCCAGCGUGAACUUAAAACAUACCAUUUCUGCAAAUGUUCCUCCAGGAGUCGUUUGUUUGAACACGGUGAAGGCAUCUCAGAAAAGAUUGCCUGUACAGCUGGAAUAAUUUUGAAUAAAAUUCUG